rnacentral:tRNA from 1 species
GAGAGGUGGCAGAGUGGUCGAAUGCACUGGUUUGCUAAACCGGCGUAGGGGGUAUUCCUUCUACCGGGGGUUCGAAUCCCCCCCUCUCC